AGAUUAUUGUACUUUAAUUCGUUCACCUUAUCAGUCCGAAAAUGCAUUAAUCAAAAAUAAAUUUAUAACUUUUUGUGUUGUCUAAAAAAUUAAUUCGGAUAUAUACGUUUAACAUAGAAAAUUUAUCUCAUGAAUAUGUACAUUGGAUGUCUGUGCGUUUUAUCUUCUUAUUAUCGGCUGGUUAUUAGAUGAAGCAUAAGUCAUCGGCGCGCUUACGAUUACGUUAAAAUAUCAUUAAAAACCAAGACUUUUAUUGAUUGUAUUUUAAAUCCCGGCAUGCAAAAACCAGGAGAAAACGUCACGACCUACAGGAAGUUGUUAAUAUUUUUUCAUUAAUUAUUGAAUUUCUCCUUUAUUGCUUCACAUAUAGCGAUAAAACUUUGUGAAUAUAGAUAUUAUGUCAUAAUGAACAUAUUUAAACCAUAAGUAAAAAAUCGCGAAUUUUCCCUUUAA
rnacentral:lncRNA from 1 species